UAACGCGUGAGAAUCUAGCUUCAGGUUGGGGACAACCACUGGAAACGGUGGCUAAUACCGAAUAUGCCGAGAGGUGAAAGGCUUGCUGCCUGAAGAUGAGCUCGCGUCUGAUUAGCUAGUUGGUGGGGUAAAAGCCUACCAAGGCGACGAUCAGUAGCUGGUCUGAGAGGAUGAUCAGCCACACUGGGACUGAGACACGGCCCAGACUCCUACGGGAGGCAGCAGUGGGGAAUUUUCCGCAAUGGGCGAAAGCCUGACGGAGCAAUACCGCGUGAGGGAGGAAGGCUCUUGGGUCGUAAACCUCUUUUCUCAGGGAAGAAAAAAAUGACGGUACCUGAGGAAUAAGCAUCGGCUAACUCCGUGCCAGCAGCCGCGGUAAUACGGAGGAUGCAAGCGUUAUCCGGAAUGAUUGGGCGUAAAGCGUCCGCAGGUGGCUAUGUAAGUCUGCUGUUAAAGAGUGAGGCUCAACCUCAUAAAAGCAGUGGAAACUACAUGGCUAGAGUGCGUUCGGGGCAGAGGGAAUUCCUGGUGUAGCGGUGAAAUGCGUAGAGAUCAGGAAGAACACCGGUGGCGAAAGCGCUCUGCUAGGCCGCAACUGACACUGAGGGACGAAAGCUAGGGGAGCGAAUGGGAUUAG
rnacentral:rRNA from 1 species